rnacentral:tRNA from 2 species
UGCCCCAUAGUAUAAAGGGUUAUUACAUAUGAUUUUGGCUCAUAUAAUGUAGGUUCAAUUCCUGCUGGGGUAAC